rnacentral:lncRNA from 1 species
CAAUACUCUAGCAAGUUUUUUUUGUUAUCUGACAUGUCAUAAAGUAAGCUUUGAAACUGUCACCGCAUCUGCAAGUCCUAUAGUGUCAGGCUAUGCGCAAAAACAUUUAUAAAUAGAUAGGUUGCUAUGCACAGUAUUACCAAUAACUGUAUGAAAGUUAUACAAGAUCUGUAACAUUCAUGUUAAUAUUCAGAUUGUUAUAAAAUCCCCACUGACUAAACUUAUAUCUUUUAAUAUUUUACAUUUGAUAGGAAUCAUCCUCUUAAUUGUCAAAACUCCAUAUAAAUAUAAUAACAUAUAAAUGUUUGUUGAAAUUCUGGCUUGUGACAAGUAUUUGAAUUUAAAUGACUGCAUAUGUCCAUAAUCUCAAGAUUUAGUACUGGUAUACCUGCCAAACAAUGCAACAAAGUGUCAGCAUCAGUUGGAAUGAAUUGUUGCCUCGGUCUAGACUGACCAAGAUGUCCUUGAC